UGGGGAAUUUGGACAAUGGGCGAAGCCUGAUCCAGCAAUGCCGCGUGUGUGAAGAAGGCCUUCGGGUUGUAAAGCACUUUUGUCCGGAAAGAAAUCCUUGGCUCUAAUACAGUCGGGGGAUGACGGUACCGGAAGAAUAAGCACCGGCUAACUACGUGCCAGCAGCCGCGGUAAUACGUAGGGUGCAAGCGUUAAUCGGAAUUACUGGGCGUAAAGCUGCGCAGGCGGUUUGCUAAGACCGAUGUGAAAUCCCCGGGCUCAACCUGGGGAAACUGCAUUGGGUGACUGGCAGGCUAGAGUAUGGCAGAGGGGGGUAGAAUUCCACGUGUAGCAGUGAAAUGCGUAGAGAUGUGGAGGAAUACCGAUGGCGAAGGCAGCCCCCUGGGCCAAUACUGACGCUCAUGCACGAAAGCGUGGGGAGCAAACAGGAUUAGAUACCCCUGGUGGUCCACGCCCUAAAACGAUGUCAACUAGUUGUUGGGGAUUCAUUUCCUUAGUAACGUAGCUAACGCGUGAAGUUGACCGCCUGGGGAGUACGGUCGCAAGAUUAAAACUUAAAGGAAUUGACGGGG
rnacentral:rRNA from 1 species